GAUGAACGUUAGCGAUAGGCCUAACACAUGCAAGUCGAGGGGCAUCACAUGAAGUAGCAAUACGGAUGGUGGCGACCGGCGCACGGGUGAGUAACACGUAUGCAACCUGCCUUCAACAAGGGGAUAACCCGUUGAAAGACGGACUAAUACCCUAUAACACAGGGGUCCCGCAUGGGAAUAUUUGUUAAAGGACAACCGGUUGAAGAUGGGCAUGCGUUCCAUUAGCUAGUUGGCGGGGUAACGGCCCACCAAGGCAACGAUGGAUAGGGGAACUGAGAGGUUUAUCCCCCACACUGGUACUGAGACACGGACCAGACUCCUACGGGAGGCAGCAGUGAGGAAUAUUGGUCAAUGGACGCAAGUCUGAACCAGCCACGUCGCGUGAAGGAAGACGGCCCUACGGGUUGUAAACUUCUUUUGUAAGGGAAUAAAGUGUAGUACGCGUACUAUUUUGCAUGUACCUUACGAAUAAGGAUCGGCUAACUCCGUGCCAGCAGCCGCGGUAAAU
rnacentral:rRNA from 1 species